CCUACGGGAGGCUGCAGUGGGGGAUAUUGCACAAUGGGGGGAACCCUGAUGCAGCGACGCCGCGUGGGUGAAGGAGCGUUUCGGCUCGUAAAGUCCUAUUGGUAGGGAAGAUAAUGACGGUAUCUGACGAAUAAGCACCGGCUAACUACGUGCCAGCAGCCGCGGUAAUACGUAGGGGGCAAGCGUUAAUCGGAUUCACUGGGCGUAAAGGGGGCGUAGGCGGCAAAGCAAGUCAGAAGUGAAAUCCCGGGGCCCAACCAAGGGACUGCUUUUGAAACUGCUAGGCUAGAGUACGGGAGGGGCAGGCGGAAUUCUUGGUGUAGCGGUGAAAUGCGUAGAUAUUAAGAGGAACA
rnacentral:rRNA from 1 species